AUGGUGGCUGGUGAUGAGAUUCACGGCGAAGAAGACGAUUUGCGGUGGCCAGAAAUGGAGUUCACGGUGGUGGUCGACUGGAGCUCACGGCGGCGCCACCGUGAAAUAACAACAACAAAUAACUCAGAAGCACAAGAAAUGAGAGGGGAGUCGCGUUCAGAGAAAGAAUAUCAUCCUUGUGAUGGAAGAAGAGUGAAGAACAUAGGACGGAAGAGCUCCGACAGUGGUUAG
rnacentral:lncRNA from 1 species